AGAAGGAACUUGCUCCUUGGGUGGCGAGUGGCGGACGGGUGAGUAAUGCAUCGGGAUCUACCCUGACGUGGGGGAUAACCUCGGGAAACCGGGACUAAUACCGCAUACGUCCUACGGGAGAAAGCGGGGGACCUUUUAGGCCUCGCGCGGCAGGACGAACCGAUGUGCGAUUAGCUAGUUGGCGGGGUAAUGGCCCACCAAGGCGACGAUCGCUAGCUGGUCUGAGAGGAUGAUCAGCCACACUGGGACUGAGACACGGCCCAGACUCCUACGGGAGGCAGCAGUGGGGAAUAUUGGACAAUGGGCGCAAGCCUGAUCCAGCAAUGCCGCGUGUGUGAAGAAGGCCUUCGGGUUGUAAAGCACUUUUAUCAGGAGCGAAAUCUGCAUGCUUAAUACGUGUGCAGUCUGACGGUACCUGAGGAAUAAGCACCGGCUAACUUCGUGCCAGCAGCCGCGGUAAUACGAAGGGUGCAAGCGUUAAUCGGAAUUACUGGGCGUAAAGGGUGCGUAGGCGGUUCGUUAAGUCUGUCGUGAAAUCCCCGGGCUCAACCUGGGAAUGGCGAUGGAUACUGGCGAGCUAGAGUGUGUCAGAGGAUGGUGGAAUUCCCGGUGUAGCGGUGAAAUGCGUAGAGAUCGGGAGGAACAUCAGUGGCGAAGGUGGCCAUCUGGAACAA
rnacentral:rRNA from 1 species